rnacentral:lncRNA from 1 species
AGGGAUUGUUUCAAAUUAAAUGAUUUUUCCUCAUAAAAUGUAAUAGGGUCACCAAUUCUUUUUCAGCUUUCUGGCAUUUCAAGCAGAAGUGGAAGAAGUUUAAUGGACAAUGAUUGCUGUCAAGCCCUGCAGGGACAGGUUUCAAGUGGCAGCUAUGUGGGAUAAAUGCAGCAUGUGGAAUACAGGGCCUGAGGGAUGCUCAGCACCCAGCAUUACAGGAUUCUGCCUUUUUCUUGUCUUUGUGUUUUUCUCCUUCAGAGACGGAAGCCUGCUUCAAUGUGUCACAGUACAUUUUGAUGGCCCUGUAACACAGAGAAAAGACCUGAUAACUUACUGCACAGGCAAGAGCAAACACCUAUCAAUGCUGUCUUGAAUACAGCCCCUUUCUGAACAACAGACUGUUGGCUUAUGUUAGAUACCACUGUGAAAUGGAUCCUCAGGGGUGAAGCUCUUGGAGCAGCGGCCUGUGAAGGGGAGCAGCCCUGUGCAGCGCCGUACAAAGAGGUGAUGUACUGCGACAUGUAGAGGCCACUGCUCCUUCUCAUCCUGCCUCAUCAUUGUGGCUUCUGCCCAAAGGUGUGUGUGGAGUGUGCCAGCAUAUUUGCACUGUGAUACAAGGAGAGACAAGACAAAACAUGAGUUCCUUGCAGAAGCCAGGCAAGAGAGGCUCUGACUGAGGUCUGAGGUGCAUAUUGUGUAAUUGUAUGUUACUCAUUAUGACCCUGUUUUUAUUGCUUGGUUCAGUCCUACAGCUCUCAGACCACGAUGCUGACUUCCAGGAAACUUUAAAAAUAUUGUUUCCCAAAAGCUGAAGUUAGGCUAUUGUCAUAUAAAAAAUAGCUGUGGUUUAUGGUCUUGUCAAAUUAAGUUCAGCUUCAGUAAACAUGACAUGAAAUCUAUACAAGACAGCCUCACCAGUGAAUAAAAAGGCUUAUUCAGCCUAGUCA